UAGAGUAUUCUAAAAUCAUCUAGGAACACAUCAGUAGCUCCUGAUAAGUUAUAAUGAAAAGGUCAAAGGUCGUGCACAACCGCCACCUUUUUCUUGGGCACCGGAAUGUUAUCAAAUGGCGACGUGUGCUUUUCAACAACAACACCGAUCUGUUAUGCUGAGGUGUGACGGAUAUUUCAAGCUCUGUUCAGACUGGAAGGACACUGAAACUCAAUGAAUAGAUAAAUGCUUCGAAAACAAAGAUGAGUGAUCCACUGUAUCCUACAAUCCUGGAAGAAACAGGCGGCAGAGUCUUUAUCCAACGCCUGCUCAACACAUUCCACAUUCCUCACAGAUGCCAUCUAUUAUCAUCUGACAUCAUCUCUAGGGUGGAGCUGGAGAGGAGCAGUCUGGUGACCUUUGGGGUCAUGGUGUCAGGUUUGUUUAGUCUGCCUUUUACUGAUCAUCACUCCUCAAGAGAUGGACACAGAGCACGCACCUGACAAAAGCACACAGAUAGAGAGGACAAAGCAUGAUGGAAGAGUGGGAGCGUCUAAACGCCUUUUAGUGUCAGCUUAUGAGUAAGGCUUUGUCACACAUGAAUACUGCAAAGAUGGAGAUGGAGGGGAUUUUUGUGUUUAUGUGUGUGUUGACUCCUCAAGGUCACAUAAAAGCCACUACACAAGGCCUUGUCUAACACCAACUACAUCUGUGUGGGAAAAUGUCCAGAGCGUGUACACAAAACUAUUUCUAUUGAUCGCUUCUCUCCUCUAUUUCUCUCUGAAAUUAAGCCAAACCACAAGGUUGUGUAAACUCACACAAACCUAUUCUCCUUCUAACAGAUAACAUUUGCUCAAUGCAAUUGGUAGGUCAGAUGAAAACAAGGAAAUAAAGUAGUAGAAAAACAACCGAAGCCUUUGAAUCUUCUAUGAUAUUGAUGCUAACUGCGUUCUCAUUGGUCAGUCCAGUCGUACAUGUAUUUAUUUAUGAACCAAAUAAAUGGGCAUCAAAAUGGCCAUUCAAAGGGCAACACUCUUCAACAAGCCGCAUGGUUUGAAAUAUUGUUAAUAGCAAAAUAAUGCAAGAGUUACAAUCUAAAGUAAUAUUUUAGGUUAGUAGUUGUUCAAAUUGACAUUCAAUGUACUUGUGUGUGCUCAGGUCCACCGUGAUUUUGCCAAGUAAGACAUGCUCCUGGAUCAACACUUUUGAUGAUCCUGGAUCAGCAUUAUUGUCCAAAAAUAUAGACUUAACCCAAUCCCUACCCCUAAACCUAACCUUACCUAUAAUUUAUUCCUAAAAUCAGUGGGAAAUGAUAGCUGAUUAACAAGAGUGUAGAAGCACCUAACCAUGAUUCCAAGCCUAAAACAGAUAUUUCCUGAAAAGUUACAUCUCCAUUCUGAUUGGUUGAUUAAAAUGUUGUUCCAGGAACAUGCUGUACUUGGUAAUAUUAACUCUCGCCGUGUGCUCAGUUAGGUGUGUUUUCAUCCAUGUACUGUACUCGAAUGUCCCCUGCUCAUCUAAGAUGUCCUGCAAUCGCCACAAGCAAUACAAAUGAAGAUCUACCUAACUGAAUGGUUUUGGUCUUCUCUUUGCUCCGACUCCCAUUCAUCAAACUCUGGACAGCCACUUUGCAUAUUGGGAUGGCUUUUUUAUUGUUCUGCAUUAGCUUUGUAAGACAAAAAGUGGGAAAUCAAUGCAAAUUUGAUUUGCAUAACUUGCUUAUGUCCAUUAUAGUCCGUGUGAAGAAUCUCAUCAUGUGGUUUACCCAUUUUAUAUUCCACAAAGGAACAUUAAAACUGAAUUGAAUUUAUGACAUGUACCACAGCUC